UCUCCGACAUAAGAAAAAAACUAAAGAAGGCGGAGGAGGGCCCCGAGACUCCCAUCCAAAACCUGGUAAAAAUGGCCUUUAAAGUCUUCAAUGCCCGAGAGGAUACGGCRGAAGCUGCACGCCAGGCCCGCCUAAAGCAGAAAGUGACACUUCAAACCCAGG